CAUCCCUGCUUCUUGUCCAAAUCCAAAGAGAGGAUCCAAGGUUCCAGUCAGGAAGGCUCUUUUUUUAAUCAAUUGUUUUUUGUUUUCAGAACUAAGGUGGAAAUGACCCAGUGAGGAAGGAAAAUGAGCACAGGCUGCCCUGGUCACACAAUUAAAACAUAUAUGCUGGCCAAAGGUCAUCUUCAUAGCUGGGUGAGGAGACGCUGAGAUGAACUACAGACGUGAGAUGAACUAUAGCUGGUAGCUGGUUCCCCGCUGGGAUGUGCACUCAGAUCCCCAUCCUUGUCGGUUCCAAAGACUCUACCUGCACCCAGGAUCUGAAAGCUUUAAUGUGGGUCAUCCGACCAAGUGGAAAGAACCACAGCAUCCCUUUGUAAUGGGGGUUUAUUCUACUGUGUGACAACAGCCACCUCCUUCAUUUGAGGAGAUUAAUAACUUAGGCAACACUCCUGGUAGAUCUGCCAUUUGGCUCAGCUCAGUUCCAGCUUGUUUGGAGAGAGAAGUGUUCCUCAUCAUGCCAUAUCCUCACACGGACUGUCCAGGUAAG